UAUAUAUUGGUGUAUGAGCACAUAGAAUUUUGAUUUCUUAAGUUUUAGUUUAACUCUAAAAUAUAUAA
rnacentral:tRNA from 1 species